rnacentral:rRNA from 1 species
GAUGAACGCUAGCUACAGGCUUAACACAUGCAAGUCGAGGGGCAGCAUGGUCUUAGCUUGCUAAGGCCGAUGGCGACCGGCGCACGGGUGAGUAACACGUAUCCAACCUGCCGUCUACUCUUGGACAGCCUUCUGAAAGGAAGAUUAAUACAAGAUGGCAUCAUGAGUCCGCAUGUUCACAUGAUUAAAGGUAUUCCGGUCGACGAUGGGGAUGCGUUCCAUUAGAUAGUAGGCGGGGUAACGGCCCACCUAGUCUUCGAUGGAUAGGGGUUCUGAGAGGAAGGUCCCCCACAUUGGAACUGAGACACGGUCCAAACUCCUACGGGAGGCAGCAGUGAGGAAUAUUGGUCAAUGGGCGCAGGCCUGAACCAGCCAAGUAGCGUGAAGGAUGACUGCCCUAUGGGUUGUAAACUUCUUUUAGAAAGGAAUAAAGUCGGGUAUGUAUACCCGUUUGCAUGUACUUUAUGAAUAAGGAUCGGCUAACUCCGUG